AGAGUUUGAUCAUGGCUCAGAUUGAACGCUGGCGGCAGGCCUAACACAUGCAAGUCGAGCGGAUGAGAGGAGCUUGCUCCUUGAUUCAGCGGCGGACGGGUGAGUAAUGCCUAGGAAUCUGCCUGGUAGUGGGGGACAACGUUUCGAAAGGAACGCUAAUACCGCAUACGUCCUACGGGAGAAAGCAGGGGACCUUCGGGCCUUGCGCUAUCAGAUGAGCCUAGGUCGGAUUAGCUAGUUGGUGAGGUAAUGGCUCACCAAGGCGACGAUCCGUAACUGGUCUGAGAGGAUGAUCAGUCACACUGGAACUGAGACACGGUCCAGACUCCUACGGGAGGCAGCAGUGGGGAAUAUUGGACAAUGGGCGAAAGCCUGAUCCAGCCAUGCCGCGUGUGUGAAGAAGGUCUUCGGAUUGUAAAGCACUUUAAGUUGGGAGGAAGGGCAGUAAGCUAAUACCUUGCUGUUUUGACGUUACCGACAGAAUAAGCACCGGCUAACUUCGUGCCAGCAGCCGCGGUAAUACGAAGGGUGCAAGCGUUAAUCGGAAUUACUGGGCGUAAAGCGCGCGUAGGUGGUUCGUUAAGUUGGAUGUGAAAGCCCCGGGCUCAACCUGGGAACUGCAUCCAAAACUGGCGAGCUAGAGUAUGGCAGAGGGUGGUGGAAUUUCCUGUGUAGCGGUGAAAUGCGUAGAUAUAGGAAGGAACACCAGUGGCGAAGGCGACCACCUGGGCUAAUACUGACACUGAGGUGCGAAAGCGUGGGGAGCAAACAGGAUUAGAUACCCUGGUAGUCCACGCCGUAAACGAUGGAUACUAGCUGUAGGGGGUAUCGACCCCUUCUGUAGCGAAGCUAACGCGUUAAGUAUCCCGCCUGUGGAGUACGGUCGCAAGACUAAAACAUAAAGGAAUUGACGGGGACCCGCACAAGCGGUGGAUCAUGUUCUUUAAUUCGAUGAUAAACGAAGAACCUUACCAGGGUUUGACAUCCCGAGAAUUAAUCCGAAAGGAUUGAGUGCUUUAUUGAACUCGGUGACAGAUGUUGCAUGGCCGUCGUCAGCUCGUGUCGUGAGAUGUUUGGUUAAGUCCAUCAACGAGCGCAACCCUUGUGAAUAGUUGUAUUUUUCUAUUCAGACUGCCCCGGCAACGGGGAGGAAGGAGGGGAUGAUGUCAGGUCAGUAUUACUCUUACAUCCUGGGCUAGAAACGUGAUACAAUGGCAAGUACAAUGCGCAGCGAAGCCGCGAGGUGAAGCAAAUCGCAUCAAAGCUUGUCCCAGUUCGGAUAAGAGGCUGAAACUCGCCUCUUUGAAGUCGGAAUCGCUAGUAAUCGCAGGUCGGCAAACUGCGGUGAAUACGUUCCCGGGUCUUGUACACACCGCCCGUCAAGCCAUGAAAGUCACCAACACCCGAAGUCCGAUUCGUCGGCCUAAGGUGGGGGGGAUGAUUGGGGUUAAGUCGUAACAAGGUAACC
rnacentral:rRNA from 1 species